AACCAUACAAGCGUAAACAACCUCUAACAUUAUGAGUUGAAAUCGUGAUCACACAUUUAAAACAUGUUUUACUCCAAAUGGUUAAAUUGAAAUUUCAGAAUAUCUAUACGCUUAUCAAUUCUUCAUGAAUCGAUUUUUAAUAUCGCACAGCUGUAAAACUUAUUUUUGUUAACAAUUCAUUUAAAUCAACUAAAUUUUUUACUUAACAUUUAAAUUGUCCCUGCAAAGGAUAUAUGUAUCCUUUCGCCACAAAUAAAUGUUGAUGACCUGAUUGUCAGUAUUAUAACCUUAAAAAGAAUUUUAGUUCGAUAGAAUUUGUGUUUUUGAUCCGGCUUAGUUUUGUCUUGCAAUUACAUCACUGCAGCUAUCAAUUAAUUCAAUCAAACCAUAUAUAACAAAAUAUAACAGAAUGUUUUUUUCCCACACAAACAUUGUAUAAUUUAGCGCAUCUGCUUACGUUUAGUUAGUCAUAUGCCUUCAGCAUGCCGAAAAAAUAAAAGAAACUAUUUAUCUGAGAGAAAUGAAUCAGGAGGUUUCUGCACCUAAGGAGGAAUUUUAUUCACCUCCAGUGACCUAUCUAGCUGGAGCACCUACGGGGUAUCUAUAUCCUGAAUGUGCAGACGAUGG